rnacentral:rRNA from 1 species
UGGGGAAUCUUGGACAAUGGGGGCAACCCUGAUCCAGCCAUGCCGCGUGAGUGAUGAAGGCCUUAGGGUCGUAAAGCUCUUUCGCCUGUGAAGAUAAUGACGGUAGCAGGUAAAGAAACCCCGGCUAACUCCGUGCCAGCAGCCGCGGUAAUACGGAGGGGGUUAGCGUUGUUCGGAAUUACUGGGCGUAAAGCGCACGUAGGCGGACCAGAAAGUUGGGGGUGAAAUCCCGGGGGCUCAACCCCGGAACUGCCUUCGAUACUGGCAAUCUAGAGAUCUGGAGAGGCGAGUGGAAUUCCGAGUGUAGAGGUGAAAUUCGUAGAUAUUUGGAGGAACACCAGUGGCGAAGGCGGCUCACUGGCUCGAUACUGACGCUGAGGUGCGAAAGUGUGGGGAGCAAACAGGAUUAGAUACCCUGGUAGUCCACACCGUAAACGAUGAAUGCCAGUCGUCGGGUAGCAUGCUAUUCGGUGACACACCUAACGGAUUAAGCAUUCCGCCUGGGGAGUACGGUCGC